UACGUAGGGUGCAAGCGUUAAUCGGAAUUACUGGGCGUAAAGCGUGCGCAGGCGGUUUUGUAAGUCUGUCGUGAAAUCCCCGGGCUUAACCUGGGAAUGGCGAUGGAGACUGCAAGGCUAGAGUUUGGCAGAGGGGGGUAGAAUUCCACGUGUAGCAGUGAAAUGCGUAGAGAUGUGGAGGAACACCGAUGGCGAAGGCAGCCCCCUGGGUCAAAACUGACGCUGAGGCGCGAAAGCGUGGGGAGCGAACAGG
rnacentral:rRNA from 1 species